GCCACAAAUGAGGCAGAGAGAGCUCUGAUAUUCCUGCAGCGUGCCCCGGGCACACGGCCAGGGCACCUGGGGCGGGCACAGGGCUGGCACCCAGCACCUUCCCAGAUCCACAGGGACAGCCAGCACUCCCUGCCUUGCCCAAAAGGCUCAUCUGUGACAAAUGGACUUGUAGAGAGCUCUUAGGGCCUGACAGAGGGCCUACACAGUGUGAGCAUGUAUGCAAACUUUAUGGAAUAGCAUCUACAGCAAGGUGUGGCAAAAGCUGGUCAGCCAUACAGUGUUUUGUAAUUAGGAAAUAAUCAGCUUCUGAUUGUGAUGGUGCCAAUUGUAACAUCUGUAUUGUCUCACCCUUCAAAUGAGACUGAAAAUGGAAUAGAAGUUUUUAAAACACCCCUCAGCUGUCCCAUCUCUGGGUCAGGAAAGGGCUUGAUCCGACACUCAUCCUCUGCUAUCAGCCCUGGCCACGGGCAGGGAGGGAUGGGAGGGUCUGGGGCAGCACAGCUCGGAGAAUCCCAGCUGGAAGAGGCCCUGUGGAAUCAUCGUCCCACCAGCACAUCCUCCCGCCUGGAUGGAGGCACCUCAAGCACUGAGGCUGCAGGAAUUUCCCCUGAAACAAUAUCCACGGGCUAGAAAGAUUUAAUAACUGGGAAGUGUCCUUCCUUCCUUCCCUCCCUCCAGCUAUCCCCCGUGUCAUUCCUGCGCUCUCCUUUUGAUUUGCACGCUCACAGCCCCUCCAGCCUCUCUCCCAGGCCCGGCUCAGUCAAUCCUGAUGAAAAUCCACCUUCCAGCCCCAUUAAUUGCUCACUCGGCCUUGGCCGAGGCACAGCAGCUUUUGUUCCAGCGCCGCUCCAGCUGCUCCUGCCGCCCCGGCGCAUGGAACCGUUUGUCACCCACAUUCCCAACAGGAAUCGUUUGUCACCCACAUUCCCAACAGGAAUCGUUUGUCACCCGCAUUCCCAACAGGCAUCGUUUGUCACCAGCAUUCCCAACAGGAAUCGUUUGUCGCCCACAUUCCCAACAGGAACCGUCUGUCGCCCACAUUCCCAACAGGAACUGUCUGUCACCAACAUUCCCAACAGGAACCGUUUGUCACCAACACACGCACAGGAAUCAUUUUGUCACCAACACUUCUGAACGCUCAGAAAUUGUUUGUCACCAGCAUUCCCAACAGGAAUUUUUUGUCACCUACAUUCCCAACAGGAAUUGAUUGUCACCAACAUUCCCAAAUGUACAGGAAUCAUUUGUCA
rnacentral:lncRNA from 1 species